GACGAACGCUGGCGGCGUGCUUAACACAUGCAAGUCGAACGGAAAGGCCCUGCUUUUGUGGGGUGCUCGAGUGGCGAACGGGUGAGUAACACGUGAGUAACCUGCCCUUGACUUUGGGAUAACUUCAGGAAACUGGGGCUAAUACCGGAUAGGAGCUCCUGCUGCAUGGUGGGGGUUGGAAAGUUUCGGCUGUUGGGGAUGGACUCGCGGCUUAUCAGCUUGUUGGUGGGGUAGUGGCUUACCAAGGCUUUGACGGGUAGCCGGCCUGAGAGGGUGGCCGGCGACAUUGGGACUGAGAUACGGACCAGACUGGUACGGGGGGCAGCAGGGGGGAAUAUUGCACAAUGGGCGGAAGCCUGAUGCAGCAACGCCGCGUGCGGGAUGACGGCCUUCGGGUUGUAAACCGCAUUCGCCUGUGACGAAGCGUGAGUGACGGUAAUGGGUAAAGAAGCACCGGCUAACUACGUG
rnacentral:rRNA from 1 species